rnacentral:rRNA from 1 species
CCCUUAGAUGUUCUGGGCCGCACGCGCGCUACACUGAUGCAUUCAACGAGUCUAAAACCUGGUCUGAUAGGGCUGGGUAAUCUUUUGAAAGUGCAUCGUGAUUGGGAUAGAUGAUUGCAAUUCUUCAUCUUCAACGAGGAAUGCCUAGUAAACGCAAGUCAUCAGCUUGCAUUGAUUACGUCCCUGCCCUUUGUACACACCGCCCGUCGCUCCUACCGAUUGAAUGAUCCGAUGAAUACCAUGGAUUGAGAGUACGAAUGGGUUCGCUCAUUUCUGCUGCUCGAGAAGUGGAGUAAAUCUUAUCAUUUAGAGGAAGGAGAAGUCGUGACA